UGGGGAAUAUUGGACAAUGGGGGCAACCCUGAUCCAGCGAUGCCGCGUGUGUGAAGAAGGCCUGCGGGUUGUAAAGCACUUUCAGUUGGGAAGAAGCAAUUUAUCCUAAUAAGGUAAUGCGUUGACGUUACCAACAGAAGAAGCACCGGCUAACUCUGUGCCAGCAGCCGCGGUAAUACAGAGGGUGCAAGCGUUAAUCGGAAUUACUGGGCGUAAAGCGCACGUAGGUGGGUUGGUAAGUUGCUGGUGAAAAGCCUGGGCUUAACCUGGGUCGGUCCUGCAAAACUACCAGCCUAGAGUGUAUUAGAGGGAAGUGGAAUUUCCGGUGUAGCAGUGAAAUGCGUAGAUAUCGGAAGGAACACCAGUGGCGAAGGCGACUUCCUGGAAUAUAACUGACACU
rnacentral:rRNA from 1 species